ACGAACGCUAGCGGCGUGCUUAACCCCUGCCAGUCGAACGAUGAAGCCUAGCUUGCUAGGUGGAUUAGUGGCGAACGGGUGAGUAAUACGUGAGUAACCUACCUUUAACUCUGGGAUAAGCCUGGGAAACUGGGUCUAAUACCGGAUACGACCAAUCUCCGCAUGGGGUGUUGGUGGAAAGCGUUAUGUAGUGGUUAUAGAUGGGCUCACGGCCUAUCAGCUUGUUGGUGAGGUAACGGCUCACCAAGGCGACGACGGGUAGCCGGCCUGAGAGGGUGACCGGCCACACUGGGACUGAGACACGGCCCAGACUCCUACGGGAGGCAGCAGUGGGGAAUAUUGCACAAUGGGCGCAAGCCUGAUGCAGCGACGCCGCGUGAGGGAUGACGGCCUUCGGGUUGUAAACCUCUGUUAGCAGGGAAGAAGAGAAAUUGACGGUACCUGCAGAGAAAGCGCCGGCUAACUACGUG
rnacentral:rRNA from 1 species